rnacentral:rRNA from 1 species
AUGAACGGGGGCACUCUGUUAUAUUUUUAAUAAAAAUUUAUUGAACUUGAAUUUAGGGUAAAAAUGCCCAGUUGAUUUAAAGGGACGAUAAGACCCUAAAAUUUUUAUUUUACAAAUUUUUAUUGAUGUGUGUUGAUUUUUUACCUGGGGUAGGGGUGUUAUAAAUAAAUAUUUUUAUUGCAGUUAUAUUGGUUUAUUGGUCCUGUAUUUAAGACAAGUUGUAUUAGUUACUUUAGGGUUAACAGCAUAAUGAUUUUUUUGAGAUCUUAUCUAUAAAAUUGGUUGUGACCUCGAUGUUGAAUUAAUUAAUUUCUUUUUGAGGCAGAAGGCAAGUAAGUAAGUUUGUUCAACUUUUAAAUUAUUACAUGAUUU